rnacentral:rRNA from 1 species
CAGCAGUAGCCACGGUAAUACGGAGGGGGCUAGCGUUGUUCGGAAUUACUGGGCGUAAAGCGCACGUAGGCGGCUUGGUAAGUUAGAGGUGAAAGCCCGGAGCUCAACUCCGGAAUUGCCUUUAAGACUGCCGAGCUAGUAGGUGAGAGAGGUAAGUGGAAUUCCGAGUGUAGAGGUGAAAUUCGUAGAUAUUCGGAAGAACACCAGUGGCGAAGGCGGCUUACUGGCUCAUUCUAGACGCUGAGGUGCGAAAGCGUGGGGAGCAAACAGGAUUAGAUACCCGCGUAGUCCCUGUCUCUUAUAC